GCGGGGAACCGUGUGAGGUAGACGUAGUGGGUGUGCUCGCCGCCGUUUACAGAAGUGAAAAAAUGUAAAUAUCCCGUGAAGUUUCGUGUCCCAUCUCUGUGCCAUAAUAAAAACUAUUAAUCUUAAGUACAACACAUUAUUUAUUAACAUAAUCUAAAAAAAAAUAAUAA